rnacentral:rRNA from 1 species
GAUGAACGCUAGCGACAGGCCUAACACAUGCAAGUCGAGGGGCAGCACAUGAAUAGCAAUACGAUGGUGGCGACCGGCGCACGGGUGAGUAACACGUAUGCAACCUACCGGUAAAAGGGGGAUAGCCUCUCGAAAGAGAGAUUAAUACCGCAUAAUAUCUCUGGAUGGCAUCAUUUAGCGCUUAAACAUUUAUGGUUUACCGAUGGGAAUGCGUAUGAUUAGCUAGUAGGUGAGGUAACGGCUCACCUAGGCAACGAUCAUUAGGGGUUCUGAGAGGAAGGUCCCCCACACUGGUACUGAGACACGGACCAGACUCCUACGGGAGGCAGCAGUGAGGAAUAUUGGUCAAUGGGCGAGAGCCUGAACCAGCCAAGUCGCGUGAAGGAUGAAGGUUCUAUGGAUUGUAAACUUCUUUUGUAAGGGAAUAAAAAGAGCUACGUGUAGUUUAUUGUAUGUACUUUACGAAUAAGGAUCGGCUAACUCCGUGCCAGCCGCCGCGGUAA